UUCCGGUUGAUCCUGCCGGACCCGACUGCUAUCGGAGUGGGGCUAAGCCAUGCGAGUCGUACGCUUCUUGACUGCAAGAGGCGUGGCGAACGGCUCAGUAACACGUAGCUAACUUAACCUAGAGACGUGGAUAACCCCGGGAAACUGGGACUAAUCCGCGAUAGACCAAGGCUCCUGGAAUGGGCUUUGGUCGAAAGGGAUGGACAAGCAUGUUUUGUCCAUCUGCUCUAGGAUAGGGCUGCGGCCGAUCAGGUUGUUGGUGGGGUAAUGGCCCACCAAGCCUAUAACCGGUACGGGCUUUGAGAGAAGGAGCCCGGAGAUGGACACUGAGACAAGGGUCCAGGCCCUACGGGGCGCAGCAGGCGCGAAACCUUCGCAAUACGCGAAAGCGUGACGAGGUCACUCCGAGUGCCACUCGCUGAGGGUGGCUUUUCCCAAGUCUAAAAAGCUUGGGGAAUAAGGGGAGGGUAAGUCUGGUGUCAGCCGCCGCGGUAAUACCAGCUCCCCGAGUGGUCGGGACGUUUAUUGGGCCUAAAGCAUCCGUAGCCGGUCUUGUAGGUCUUCUGUUAAACCCAACGGCCCAACCGUUGGACUGCAGAAGAUACCGCAGGACUAGGAGGCGGGAGAGGCGGACGGUACUCCAUGGGUAGGGGUAAAAUCCUUUGAUCCAUGGAAGACCACCAGUGGCGAAGGCGGUCCGCCAGAACGCGCUCGACGGUGAGGGAUGAAAGCUGGGGGAGCGAACCGGAUUAGAUACCCGGGUAGUCCCAGCCGUAAACGAUGCGAGCUAGGUGAUGGAGUGGCUGUGUGCCAUUCCAGUGCCGCAGGGAAGCCGUUAAGCUCGCCGCCUGGGGGAGUACGGCCGCAAGGCUGAAACUUUAAAGGAAUUGGCGGGGGAGCACCACAAGGGGUGAAAGCCUGC
rnacentral:rRNA from 1 species